GCCUGAUCCCAUCCCGAACUCAGAAGCUAAGCCCCUCCGCGCCGAUGGUACUGCGGGGUUCCCCGUGGGAGAGUAGGUCGACGCCAGGA
rnacentral:rRNA from 1 species